rnacentral:rRNA from 1 species
UACGUAGGGUGCGAGCGUUGUCCGGAAUUAUUGGGCGUAAAGGGCUCGUAGGCGGUUUGUCACGUCGGGAGUGAAACUCGGGGCUUAACCCUGAGCCUGCUUCCGAUACGGGCAGGCUAGAGUGCGGUAGGGGAGACUGGAAUUCCUGGUGUAGCGGUGAAAUGCGCAGAUAUCAGGAGGAACACCGGUGGCGAAGGCGGGUCUCUGGGCCGUAACUGACGCUGAGGAGCGAAAGCAUGGGGAGCGAACAGG